GAAGGGAUCAAAAAGAAAGAACUUGUGUCAAUCGGAGAACUCAACACGUCGAGCAGGUAGCACUCACGCUUUGAACACAUUUUGUUAGUCAUAUGUGGGUUUUAAAUAGCCGCAUAAAAUGGUAACUAUGUUGUUUUUGUUUAGACAUAGGAAGCUGAUUUUAUUUAUAAAACUCGGAUUGUUGGGGUCCUCCAACAAAAUGGAUGGUCAUUCGUCUCUUGCACUUGGAUGCAGGUGGAAGUUGGUAAUCCGGCUCUUCCCUUCAGGGCUACAGAUGUGUUUCUCACAAAGUGACCGGGGUUAUCAGGUUCCAAGUUGAGCUAGCGGUUAUGAUAGCAAUGAUAGUGCCACGUUUGUAGUCUUCGACAGGGAGAUGACUAAGCUCACCAAGAAAGAUGCGCCUACACUGGCUCUUGAGGAGAAUAGUGGUGUUGGAAGGCAUGAGCUACCAAGAUGCCUUGAAAAGCUAGAUGGCAAAGACUACUUCUUCCAGAUUCGUUUCACUCCAUACAAUUUCACCCCCAAACCACUGUACCUUAACCGUCUCUACAAUCAGUGACGAUAGGUUCUUUGGCACUCAGGCGUAGGUGGAGUAAUAUAAGUUUUUCAACACUUUUUCUUCUUUCUAAAUUAAUAUAACACAUGUAUAGCAGCAACCAAACUACAGUCGUGGACAGCGAAGGUGGACAAGCAACAGCGUCUGCUAGCAAUACGGUUGUUACGGCUAAGAUAGCAACGGGAGUUAAAGAACCAAAUCCAAGCAACGGGAGUUAAAGAACCAAAUCCACCAAACCAUCAACGACCACUUAGCUUUCGUGUCUUUUAUUAUUGCUAAUUUCCUAUUUUUUUUUCAUUUUGAACUUUGGUCGCGUCUUGCAUUUUUUGCAAACUCUCACCCCCGGAGACACGUAACUUUAUUAAUAAAUAAUAAUGGUAACGUUCACGAAUCCUUUGCAUACUAAAAAUAACAAAUAUGGGGUUAUCUUAAGACUAUUUAACAGACAGCAAAACAAACAAUAUAAAUAUAUAAUCCAUCCUUGGGUGUUUGCAGAUUUAUCCCAAAUAAAUACCAAUUUCAACUGUUUUUCCCACACCAAAGUCCACAACAACAGCACAAGUCCACAACAACAACACAAUAAACCUCGCAGUUCAAAACACCCCAUAAAACUUCAAAUUUUUCAAAUCUCAGCAAAACACCUUCACAAUCUCAACAACUUCAACAACAUCGAUUUCUCGUACAGAGUUAGAGACAACGCAACAACAACGUACAUAUCCUUGCACUUGCGCGGGCUCCGCUCCUAGUAUAAAUAAAAUGGAAACUAUUAUUUAAUAAAACCGGGUUACCGGGUGACGGUUGUUACAUAAACCUUCAGGACAACACAAAACAUCCUCGGUAACACUACUUAAAAAAUUUCAUCACACCAAAACACGUCCUCAUAACAUUAAUUUACAUUUUCUCGAAAGAAAUUAAA